CCGAUUCCACCUACAGCAAAGCUGGAUGCGAUGGCUGGCAGAGGCAAACCCUUUGCCUGCACUUCAGGCCAAAGCCGGGAUGUGGCCUAGAUGGUUCCUAAGGUCCCUGACAAUCCUGAGAUCUUGCAUCUUGUCUAUUUCAGGUCAAAGCUUCUCAGAUGACCAAGAUGGUGCUGCAGAUGGUGCUGAGGAUGGAGAACCCACCAAGCCCCGCUAGGAGCCACCUAGACUGGAUGCAGAGCAUGAUGGAAAGGAGCCUGGCUCUGUCACCCAGGCUGGAGUGCAGUGGCGUGAUCUCAGCUCACUGCAAGCUCCACCUCUUGGGUUCACGUGAUUCUCCUGCCUCAGCCUCCUGAGUAUCUGGGACUACAGGUGCCACCACCAUGCUCGGCUAAUUUUUUGAAUUUUUAGUAGAGACGGAGUUUCACCGUGUCAGCCAGCCUGGUCUCAAACUCCUGACCUCAAGUGAUCCACCCACCUCGGCCUCCCAAAGUGCUGGGAUUCCAGUUAAUGAGCACUGCUCCUGGCCUCCACAUUUCUAAAAUCGAAGUUCU
rnacentral:lncRNA from 10 species